GACCUCAUGGGGAGGG
rnacentral:rRNA from 1 species